rnacentral:rRNA from 1 species
GAUGAACGCUGGCGGCGUGCCUAAUACAUGCAAGUCGAGCGAACGGACGAGAAGCUUGCUUCUCUGGUGUUAGCGGCGGACGGGUGAGUAACACGUGGAUAACCUACCUAUAAGACUGGGAUAACUUCGGGAAACCGGAGCUAAUACCGGAUAAUAUUUUGAACCGCAUGGUUCAAAAGUGAAAGACGGUCUUGCUGUCACUUAUAGAUGGAUCCGCGCUGCAUUAGCUAGUUGGUAAGGUAACGGCUUACCAAGGCAACGAUGCAUAGCCGACCUGAGAGGGUGAUCGGCCACACUGGAACUGAGACACGGUCCAGACUCCUACGGGAGGCAGCAGUAGGGAAUCUUCCGCAAUGGGCGAAAGCCUGACGGAGCAACGCCGCGUGAGUGAUGAAGGUCUUCGGAUCGUAAAACUUUGUUAUUAGGGAAGAACAUAUGUGUAAGUAACUGUGCACAUCUUGACGGUACCUAAUCAGAAAGCCACGGCUAACUACGUG